GGUUUCAGAACCCAUGUGUCAACACAAGAGGUAAAGUAUAUAUUUUUUUCUCUUUCUUUUAUUUUUGCUCUUCGUCUUCGUCUCUUGGUUUCUCGUCUGUGACGAAGGAUUGAAACCAAGGACCGAUCGAAACCACCACCGAUCCUCCAUCUUCGUUCUCGUCUUCUCCGUGACAGAGGGAGAAUCGAAACCCACCACCAAAGACGACGACUCUCUCGCUCCUCUCGGUGUCUCCUCCGUCGUCUCUCAUCUUCUUGGAUAGUAGAAGGAUCGAAACCCACCACCGAUCGUCCGUCUUCUCUCAUUUCGAUCCUCCGUCUUCUCUCGUUUCGAUCGUCGAUUUGUGUGGGAAUAUUGACGGGCUACACAUAGACCUUACAAAAGAUGCUUAAUCAAAUCUUAGGAAGAUAAAACUACAAUAUUAUGGCUUUAAACUUGCUUCUGCUUCUGCUUCGAGAGAAGGUUCUCCAAUAACAGAGGUAGAGCCAUACAUACCUUUUAACAUUAACCCAGCAGGGAUGCAGCCUGUUCUUACAACCACUUACCUCUUGGCAUUUCCCAGCAUUCUUGCAAGCAUUGUGGGUUCACCGUUCUUGUUACACGUGAAGGAGAUUUUAAACCUAAAAGUACAGUCGGGGCACCGCCAUGGGUUUACUACUCAGUCUAUGCGUUUUUCGUGUUUCUCUUCAACAUCUUUGACAUUGUGAGUGUUUAAUCUUUUUUUUCUCAGUCUGAGUUGCAAUCUUCUAUGAACAUUAAACAUGAUUAGUUAUGCAUGUUUGUGUCACAAGAUGGUUUUGGUUUUGUAUGUUUGUGACACGAGAUGGGAUUGUAUAUGCAAGUCACACGAAUUUUAUUCAAGUCACAAGUUGGUUUUGGGUCUUCUCUCUUACUCUAUAUAAACUUAUUCAAGUCACAAGAUUUAAAACACUCCUCUCGAUCAAAAAUUUCUGUGUCUUCUUCUCUCUCGCUUUAGAAGUUUUAUUGAAGUCACAUUCACUAAGUCUUCUUCUCUCUUGCUCUAUAAAUUUUUAUUCACUAAGCAUUGUAUUCACCAAGUCUUCUUCUCUCAUUCUCCUUAUACAAAUGAUUUGAAACACAGUCUUUGUUUUUAUGUUUUAAUUUUAAAAUGUAUGUUUAAAAUGUUAUCUUUAUUAUGUUUUAUUUUAUAAAUAAAUUUUAUCUUUAAAAAAAAUUAAGAAACUCAAAUUAAGAAACUACCAUUGUAGCUCCAAAAUUAUGGGAUUCUUAACUAAGAUCCUUAACUACAAUUUAUUAAUUUAAUAGUCACUAAAAUGUACUUAAGAAACUAUGUGGGAUCCUAGGGAUAAACAUGUUCUUAUAUCGCAAAACUGUUAGAAUCGUGUGGUUGAGAAUCAUUAACCCAUGUGACUCGCCCUUUUAAGUAGGGCUGGGCAAAUAAACCGAACCCAAAAAUUUGAACCGAACCCGAUCCGAUAAAAAUAAAUCUGAAUC